rnacentral:lncRNA from 1 species
AGGCAAGGUCACUAAGGCUGGUUUGAAGUUUCUGUGCCUUGAAAUUUCUUAUGUCAUGGAGUCACCUGACAUUCAGAUCAAAGGCCGACUCCGCUCUAUGUUUGAUGAUCCUUGCAGCAAGCACAGAUCAAGGUUCCUGUGACCUGCAGCAAUUGGAUUACAAGAUUAGAUCAAUUUGCAAAGUACACCAAGAUCACAGCAGUUGCCAUCCAUUAGCCGCUGAGACAAGUGAUGUCACCUGCCAAUACUGUAGAUUGAAUAACCAGGGAAGGCUGAGGAAUGCAAGUGAAUGUAAAAACCACCUGGAGGGAAGCAUUGCAGCAAGAAAGGAACAGCAAGUGCAGAGGCCUGAGGCAGAACCAGCAGGGAAAAUGCUUUGAGGUUCCAUGAAAACCUGGAAGAAAUAUUCCUGAGGACCAUCCAACACCAUUUCCCUGAGAGACAAGCUGUAAGUGCUGUUCUAGUUACAGAUCCGAGUCCCUGGUACAUUGAUAUCAAGUAAGGGUGCAUGCAGCUCAGAAGGCAGUUUCCAUUACACUGGACAAGAGUGUGGCUGCCUGAGUCCUAGAACUGCAGUGGCUUCUGCUGACAAUGUGAGGAGUAGCUGCCCUGUCCAGAGUGUGGCCCCGCACGCUGCCCCCUCCCCUGGAGGGACUGAAGAGAACAGCUUGGAGCAUGCCCUUCCCUUUCCCUUAUCUCGCCCACUAUGCUAAUGCUGCUCAUCCCUCAAGAUCCGAGUUAUUCCUCCUCAAUUCAAUACACACCAAUCAACUGCCC